GUGAAAUAGGUUACGGCCCAAUACAUAAGAAAUGGUAUCCGGGUCCUCAAAUUCGGAUCCUUGAAAUUAGGGUUUUAAGUUUCACCAUCGCCACCAUCACCCCCUUAUAAAUUCGUAAUUCCACGCUAUUUUGCUCUAUAGCUGCCGCGAUACGGAUAGAUUUCUUCAACAGUCCAGCAAGUAAGAGAGAGGGAAACAACUAAAUCUGUGAGCAGACAUGAGGGCCAAGUGGAAGAAGAAGAGAAUGAGGAGGUUGAAGAGGAAGCGCAGAAAGAUGAGACAGAGAUCUAAGUAGAGAAUGAGGGAAAUGCUUUGCAAUGAGAUUUUGUGGAAGCAAUUUGUGUACAAUGGCUUCCUUGACUCAUUUCUCAUCUUAUAAAACUCUUACCCUCUUAAUUAGUGUUAUUUAAAAACAUGAGACUUGUUUUGUCUAUGCUUAAUGUUUAUUUGUUUUGGACUAUCGCUUGCUUAUCUCAACUUUAUAUGAAUGAUACAAGUCCUUCAAUUUGGUAUUAAUAUUUCAGAUUAUUCA